rnacentral:rRNA from 1 species
UACGUAGGGUGCGAGCGUUUGUCCGGAAUUAUUGGGCGUAAAGAGCUCGUAGGCGGUUUGUUGCGUCGGCUGUGAAAUUCCGAGGCUCAACCUCGGGUCUGCAGUCGAUACGAGCAAACUAGAGUGUUGCAGGGGAGACUGGAAUUCCUGGUGUAGCGGUGAAAUGCGCAGAUAUCAGGAGGAACACCGGUGGCGAAGGCGGGUCUCUGGACCGUAACUGACGCUGAGGCGCGAAAGCGUGGGGAGCAAACAGG